UGGCGAACGGGUGAGUAAUAUAUCGGAACGUGCCCAGUCGUGGGGGAUAACGCAGCGAAAGCUGUGCUAAUACCGCAUACGAUCUCUGGAUGAAAGCGGGGGACUCGCAAGAGCCUCGCGCGAUUGGAGCGGCCGAUAUCAGAUUAGCUAGUUGGUGGGGUAAAAGCCCACCAAGGCGACGAUCUGUAGCUGGUCUGAGAGGACGACCAGCCACACUGGAACUGAGACACGGUCCAGACUCCUACGGGAGGCAGCAGUGGGGAAUUUUGGACAAUGGGCGAAAGCCUGAUCCAGCAAUGCCGCGUGUGGGAAGAAGGCCUUCGGGUUGUAAACCACUUUUGUACGGAACGAAACGGUCUGCCUUAAUACGGUGGGCUAAUGACGGUACCGUAAGAAUAAGCACCGGCUAACUACGUGCCAGCAGCCGCGGUAAUACGUAGGGUGCGAGCGUUAAUCGGAAUUACUGGGCGUAAAGCGUGCGCAGGCGGUUAUAUAAGACAGUUGUGAAAUCCCCGGGCUCAACCUGGGAAUUGCAUCUGU
rnacentral:rRNA from 1 species